UUGAUCCUGGCUCAGGACGAACGCUGGCGGCGUGCCUAAUACAUGCAAGUCGAGCGAACCACUUCGGUGGUUAGCGGCGGACGGGUGAGUAACACGUGGGCAACCUGCCUGUAAGACUGGGAUAACUUCGGGAAACCGGAGCUAAUACCGGAUAAUCCUUUUCCUCUCAUGAGGAAAAGCUGAAAGACGGUUUCGGCUGUCACUUACAGAUGGGCCCGCGGCGCAUUAGCUAGUUGGUGAGGUAACGGCUCACCAAGGCGACGAUGCGUAGCCGACCUGAGAGGGUGAUCGGCCACACUGGGACUGAGACACGGCCCAGACUCCUACGGGAGGCAGCAGUAGGGAAUCUUCCACAAUGGACGAAAGUCUGAUGGAGCAACGCCGCGUGAGCGAUGAAGGCCUUCGGGUCGUAAAGCUC
rnacentral:rRNA from 1 species